GGGUUGUGAGGUUAAGCGACUAAGCGUACACGGUGGAUGCCCUGGCAGUCAGAGGCGAUGAAGGACGUGCUAAUCUGCGAUAAGCGUCGGUAAGGUGAUAUGAACCGUUAUAACCGGCGAUUUCCGAAUGGGGAAACCCAGUGUGAUUCGUCACACUAUCAUUAACUGAAUCCAUAGGUUAAUGAGGCGAACCGGGGGAACUGAAACAUCUAAGUACCCCGAGGAAAAGAAAUCAACCGAGAUUCCCCC
rnacentral:rRNA from 1 species